rnacentral:rRNA from 1 species
AAACUUGAGAGUUUGAUCCUGGCUCAGAACGAACGCUGGCGGCGUGCCUAACACAUGCAAGUCGAACGAAGGCGCCCCUUCGGGGGUAUCCUUAGUGGCGGACGGGUGAGUAACGCGUGGGAACCUGCCCUGGUGUGGGGAAUAACUACGGGAAACUGUAGCUAAUACCGCAUACGCCCUUCGGGGGAAAGGCUUCGGCCGUACCGGGAGGGGCCCGCGUCGGAUUAGCUUGUUGGUGGGGUAAUGGCCUACCAAGGCCGCGAUCCGUAACUGGUCUGAGAGGACGAUCAGUCACACUGGAACUGAGACACGGUCCAGACUCCUACGGGAGGCAGCAGUGGGGAAUUUUGCACAAUAGGGGAAACCCUGAUGCAGCGACGCCGCGUGGGUGAAGAAGGCCCUAGGGUUGUAAAACCCUUUCAGCAGGGAAGAUGAUGACGGUACCCGCAGAAGAAGCCCCGGCUAACUCCGUGCCAGCA